GACGUAGGGCGCGAGCGUUGUCCGGAUUUAUUGGGCGUAAAGAGCUCGUAGGCGGCUUGUCGCGUCGACUGUGAAAACCCGCGGCUUAACUGUGGGCUUGCAGUCGAUACGGGCAGGCUAGAGUUCGGUAGGGGAGACUGGAAUUCCUGGUGUAGCGGUGAAAUGCGCAGAUAUCAGGAGGAACACCGGUGGCGAAGGCGGGUCUCUGGGCUGAUACUGACGCUGAUGCGCGAAAGCCAGGGGAGCAAACGGG
rnacentral:rRNA from 1 species